GACGAACGCUGGCGGCGUGCUUAACACAUGCAAGUCGAACGGAAAGGCCCUGCUUUUGUGGGGUGCUCGAGUGGCGAACGGGUGAGUAACACGUGAGUAACCUGCCCUUGACUUUGUGAUAACUUCAGGAAACUGGGGCUAAUACCGGAUAGGAUCUCCUGCUGCAUGGUGGGGGUUGGAAAGUUUCGGCGGUUGGGGAUGGACUCGCGGCUUAUCAGCUUGUUGGUGGGGUAGUGGCUUACCAAGGCUUUGACGGGUAGCCGGCCUGAGAGGGUGACCGGCCACAUUGGGACUGAGAUACGGCCCAGACUCCUACGGGAGGCAGCAGUGGGGAAUAUUGCACAAUGGGCGGAAGCCUGAUGCAGCAACGCCGCGUGCGGGAUGACGGCCUUCGGGUUGUAAACCGCUUUCGCCUGUGACGAAGCGUGAGUGACGGUAAUGGGUAAAGAAGCACCGGCUAACUACGUG
rnacentral:rRNA from 1 species